UCUUCGCCCUAACUUGGAACCUAGGAUGUCUCAAGAAAUCAGGAAAAAACACCUGGAGAAUUUUAAUGUCAACCCAAAGCACCACAGAACUGUCACAGAGAACAGGCUGUGUCCUUGGGUUCUGGUCUGGUUGGGUAGACAUGCACGAUGUUCUUGUGACUUGCCUUCCAGAGUCCAGAGCAGAAGAAGCUUGCUCCAGAAGAAAAUGAAACCUUCCCCACACUGACUCCUAUCACCAUGAUGUACAGGACAGCCAGGAAGCCCCCACCAGGACAGCCCUGGUCCCUCCAAGAAGCAGACCUCCCCUGUGGACCCUUUUACCCUUGAUCUUGAGGUGGAUGGUGGCACCUAGUAAAAAGGAAUUUUGUUUUAUGAAAA